rnacentral:lncRNA from 1 species
AAAAUUGGGGCUGGGGAUGUGGCUCAAGUGGUAGCACGCUCGCCUGGCAUGCGUGCAGCCCGGGUUCGAUCCUCAGCACCACAUACAAACAAAGAUGUUGUGUCUGCCCAAAACUAAAAAAUAAAUAUUAAAAUUCUUUCUCUCUCUCUCUCUCUCUCUCUCUUAAAAAAAGAAUUCUCAGAUCUGAUCUAGCCAAUGGAAAGCUCUUCAAGCUCUCUCUUGUGUUCUUGUGACUUUAAAAAAAAAAAAGAAGCUCCCAAAAUUGGUAUAAAUUAUCGAGUAAAAGGACAGAUAUUCAGCCAGCCGAUACUGAUGCACACUUGCUGGAGAGCCUGAUGAGGACCUGGACUGAUAUCCCAGCUCUUAUCAUCUGCCUGAUCCUCUGCAUUGUCCUCACCACUCUCAAACUCUACAGCAGCCUCUUGACCCUGGUGAGAAUGGCAACUUCUCC